CUGCUGCAAAUGCACCAACUAUAAGAAUACAACAUACGGCACUAAUAUGUCCUCCUGGUCUGACCUCAGGGUUGAUGCUGCCUGAGCAGGAGGCUGGACUACAGACCACCUGACCUGCAUCGUUCUAUGAUCCUGCAACUGUUUGAAAGCUUUUCCUAUGUUAUUAAGAGCUGUCCUUCCACUGUCGUCACUACUGGAACACAAAUGGCACAUUAAGCUGCAACCUUGCUUUUUCACUUCAGAACAGAGACCUUAUGCUCCUACAAACAGUUAUGCAGUUAAACAGUACAGGCCACCUUCAUCAUCUGACUGUGAAGACUAAGUUUAGGAAUAAUUGUGAGGGAGGUGCUUUCAUUGCUUAGAAGGUGUCCGAGGAACUCAAGCUGAGGAUCAACUAAUUCCAUUCCUCAGCUGGUAACCAGGUACAUUAAGCUACUGUUCACCUGUGUGGGAACCCAAACACACAUUGGCCACCUGUACAUUCUGUAAGGCACAGGAAAUAUGAUGGUGUGCAAGCAGGAAGA